CAAAAAUAAUUGCAGUUUUUGCCAUUAUUUUCAUGGUAAAAAACUUUUUUAAACAUGGCAAAAAUUGCAGUUAUUUUUGCACCAA
ensembl:miRNA